rnacentral:rRNA from 1 species
AGAGUUUGAUCAUGGCUCAGAACGAACGCUGGCGGCGCGCCUAACACAUGCAAGUCGCACGCGAAAGGGAGCAAUCCUGAGUAAAGUGGCGCACGGGUGAAUAACGCGUAGGUAAUCUACCUCUGCAACUGGAAUAACCAGUCGAAAGAUUGGCUAAUACUAGAUAGAGCGCAUGGUACUUAAAGUACUGUGCGGGAAAG